rnacentral:sRNA from 1 species
AUCGAGCGAGGACGCAGACAGGAAUGAUGACUCAGGACGAGGGUCAGGAACGCCAGGAGGCGAAGACACAGGAAGGUCAGGAAGACAAACGUCAGGAGACGUUAGAAAAGGGAAAUGGAAAUAACACGGAAGUUCCAGGCUAAGGGAAAAACAGGGCGUGUUGAUAGCCAACAGGGAUUGUAAGGCCCGCUGAGGGUUUUGAGUCAAGAAAAAAGGCGACAGAGCAAUCUGUCGCCUUUUUUCUU